CCUUUACCUGUUCUUUCCUUUACCAGGCAGUGGGCUUUGUGACAUUGUGGAACCAAUGGUGUGGCAGUAUCAGGCCAAAACUUUUGACCUUCCUCCAGAUUUGUUUGAGAAGUACUCAGCAGUAUUUCCGAGUAUAUGGGUUGCCAGUGCUUUCAAGGGUGCCACAGGGAGUACACAGUUUCUACCUCCCAUUCAGAACCACAUAAAUAAUAACCUGUUGUGGUUAACUGUGUUGUCAGAAAAAAAAAACAUACCAAGAAGUUUAAAGGUAUUUGUCUAACAGGUUGGCAAAGAUAUGACCAUUAUGCCGUACUGUGUGAGUUGCUGCCUGCAGCUCUACCC